CCUACGGGUGGCAGCAGUGAGGAAUAUUGGUCAAUGGGCGCGAGCCUGAACCAGCCAAGUAGCGUGAAGGAUGACUGCCCUACGGGUUGUAAACUUCUUUUAUAAAGGAAUAAAGGUAGGUACGUGUGCCUUUUUGUAUGUACUUUAUGAAUAAGGAUCGGCUAACUCCGUGCCAGCAGCCGCGGUAAUACGGAGGAUCCGAGCGUUAUCCGGAUUUAUUGGGUUUAAAGGGAGCGUAGAUGGGUUGUUAAGUUAGUUGUGAAAGGUUGCGGCUUAACCGUAAAAUUGCAAUUGAUACUGGCGGUCUUGAGUACAGUUGAGGUAGGCGGAAUUCGUGGUGUAGCGGUGAAAUGCUUAGAUAUCACGCAGAACUCCGAUUGCGAAGGCAGCUUACUAAACUGCCACUGACAUUGAUGCUCGAAAGUGUGGGUAUCAAACAGGAUUAGAUACCCUGGUAGUC
rnacentral:rRNA from 1 species